rnacentral:rRNA from 1 species
CUCAGGACGAACGCUGCCGGCGUGCUUAACACAUGCAAGUCGAGCGAGACUUCGGUCUCGCGGCGAACGGGUGAGUAACACGUGGGCAACCUGCCCCGAGCUCUGGGAUAACUCCGGGAAACCGGGGCUAAUACCGGAUAUGACUCAAGAAGACAUCUUCUUGAGUGGAAAGUUUUUCGGCUCGGGAUGGGCCCGCGGCCUAUCAGCUUGUUGGUGGGGUAACGGCCUACCAAGGCGACGACGGGUAGCCGGCCUGAGAGGGCGACCGGCCACACUGGGACUGAGACACGGCCCAGACUCCUACGGGAGGCAGCAGUGGGGAAUAUUGCGCAAUGGGCGAAAGCCUGACGCAGCGACGCCGCGUGAGGGAUGAAGGCCUUCGGGUUGUAAACCUCUUUCAGCAGGGACGAAGCGAAAGUGACGGUACCUGCAGAAGAAGCACCGGCCAACUACGUGCCAGCAGCCGCGGUAAUACGUAGAGUGCAAGCGUUGUCCGGAAUUAUUGGGCGUAAAGAGCUCGUAGGCGGUCUGUCGCGUCGGCUGUGAAAACCCAGGGCUCAACCCUGGGCCUGCAGUCGAUACGGGCAGACUAGAGUCCGGCAGGGGAGACUGGAAUUCCUGGUGUAGCGGUGAAAUGCGCAGAUAUCAGGAGGAACACCGGUGGCGAAGGCGGGUCUCUGGGCCGGAACUGACGCUGAGGAGUGAAAGCGUGGGGAGCGAACAGGAUUAGAUACCCUGGUAGUCCACGCCCGUAACGUUGGGCGCUAGGUGUGGGGGAACUUCCACGUUCUCCGUGCCGCAGCUAACGCAUUAAGCGCCCCGCCCUGG